ACUUUUACAAGUGAUUAGGAUUAUUAUUUUAUUUACAUGUAAAUUGAAACAAUAAAUAUUGUGCUGUGUCAUAAUUUAAAACUCAUUAUGUUGCAGUCUUUUCCAGUUGAUAAAAUUGCAAUUCAAAAACUUUUAGAUUUGCACUGUAUGGAUGGCACAGGAAGAGAAAAGAGUACAAGAACAUGAAACAUCUUAUUAUGAGUGUAUAUGUAUGUGAUCCUCAAAAAAUUAUUUUACAAAACAAGAUAGAGAAAGAGCUUUAAAAUCCCAAGGAUCCUGCAAAAUGUUUAUUUGGUGUACUAGUCGAAUAAUAGUAUCUAAAAAUAUUGAAACUAUUUUAAAACACAUUACGGACAUGAGGAUGAUAUAGAACACUUACAUAAAUGCCAAAAUCAGAUAAAUAUUUCUUCAAAGUUUAUUUUGAGACUUUCUUCAAAAAUUAAACUUCAGACUGUUCAGGAUAGCAUAAUAGCAUAGGAGGCGAAUUAAAAAGAAUUAAUUUACUUACAAGAAAAGAUAUCAGAAACAUUAAACUCUCUUAUGGCAUUGAUUUGAAAGAUGGGUAUAUGUACAAUGAUGAUGCAACGUGUUUAUUUUUGGGUUGAAUGC